GCAAAGAAGCUCAGCUUCCCCCAAUGAGUUAGACAAGAUUUCUCCAGCAAAGGCAUAAUAGGGCACCAGGGCUUGGGCCAUGGCCUCUUUCAGAACCCUAACCAUGGACCCAAAUGUGAAGUCAUCACCUCCGCUGGCACUUCCACGUGGCUUCUUAUAACAGAAGAACACGGCAACAUCAAUGGGGGGUAAAAGCAAGUCCAGGUUAGAGAGUGGUAGCCAGUGCUUCUGCAUUGGUAGCAUAGCUGCCACUACUUCUUUCCUCCUCAUUGUUACCAUGAAUUCUCCUCCACUACUACUCAUGGUUUCUAGUUAUUAAUCACUAGGUUGUGAGUGCCUUCGAUUGAGUGGGAGAGAGAAGAAAAGGAAAAAUGGAGAUGCUCUGGAGUGGGCUAAUCGCACAUCAACAAUUCAGAGGGAAGAGAAAGAUAUAUGGAGUCUGGAGAGGGCCAAUCACAAUUCACACGUAAACAAUUAGCGUAUCUAACAAACUAAGAGGAAUACAUCGUGCCACGCUUCCCAUAGUCUUAUUGGGCUGCUACAUAAUUCCUUUAUAUAUGACAUGCUUAUUCAAACAAAGAAAAAACUACUAAUAGUUUUUUAUAAUAGUUACAUGAUAUUUUAUAAAAUAAAAAUUCGAUCGACAUCUG
rnacentral:lncRNA from 1 species